GGUUACCAUUAUUAUUUUUAUUAUUGUACUAUAUGAAAUAAAUGUGAAUAAAAGUAUGUUAUAAUACUAAGUGACGACUCUAAUAAAAACUGCCACGCCCCACUAAUUUCUGAUAUAUUUCACUCAAUGGUCGUUCACGAUGAAAACUGAUUGCAUAUUUUAUGUAAGUGGACUAUGAUGUGUGAAUGAUAGAAUGAUAAAAAUUUUACACAUAUAAAGAAGAAAAUUAUUUGAGUCAUAUUAGCAUAUUUUUUUCCUAAGACAUCUAACCUGUUUGUUGUUCCA